AGGGUUGUAGUUAAAAAUAACAUCUAAAUUGCAAUUAGAAAGAACCUUUAUGGUCAACCUUA
rnacentral:tRNA from 1 species